AACGGCGAGCAGCGGCGGCGGCGCGGAGAGCGCAGCGGAGGUUUUGCUGGUUUCGGACCCGAGCGGCCGGAUGGUGAAAUCCUCCCUGCAGCGGAUCCUCAACAGCCACUGCUUCGCCAGAGACAAGGAGGGGGAUAACCGCUGCGCCACGCUCCACGCCAGCUGCACCAUGCCGCUUCUCUGUCUGCACAGCCGUGGCAGCCGCAGUAGCGAGAGUUCCAGGCAGGCCGUCCACUGCUGUAGUAACCUGGGUCCAGGGCCUCGGUGGUGCUCCUGAUGUUCCUCACCCACCCCUGAAGAUCCCAGGUGGGCGAGGGAACAGUCAGCGGGAUCACAGUCUUUCAGCCAGCGUCCUCUACCCCGACGAGCGGCUGAAUGUGACCGAGGAGCCGACGUCUAACGACAAGACCCGCGUCCUGAGCAUCCAGUGCGUGCUCACAGACGCCAAGCAUGUGACCUGGAGGGCGGUGUGGAGCGGUGGCGGCCUCUGCAUUGAGCUCCCUGCCGGACCCCUGCCUGAGGGCAGCAAGGACAGCCUCGCCGCUCUCCUGGAGUUCGCUGAGGACCAGCUCCAGGCUGUCCAUGUCUUCGUCUGCUUCCGCAAGAACCGAGAUGACAGAGCCGCCCUGCUCCGAAUCUUCAGCUAUUUGGGCUUUGAGAUUGUGAGACCUGGGCACCCCCUCGUCCCUAAGAGACCCGAUGCUUGCUUCAUGGCCUACACGCCGGAGAGAGAGGCCCCAGGCGACGAGUAGGCCAGUGGCCGCGCCUCUCCUGGCUUGUUGCAUGUUGUGAUUGUGCAAAAUAAACGCUCACUCCACAGUA